rnacentral:rRNA from 1 species
GAUGAACGCUGGCGGCGUGCCUAAUACAUGCAAGUCGAGCGAACAGACGAGGAGCUUGCUCCUCUGACGUUAGCGGCGGACGGGUGAGUAACACGUGGAUAACCUACCUAUAAGACUGGGAUAACUUCGGGAAACCGGAGCUAAUACCGGAUAAUAUAUUGAACCUCAUGGUUCAAUAGUGAAAGACGGUUUUGCUGUCACUUAUAGAUGGAUCCGCGCCGCAUUAGCUAGUUGGUAAGGUAACGGCUUACCAAGGCAACGAUGCGUAGCCGACCUGAGCGGGUGAUCGGCCACACUGGAACUGAGACACGGUCCAGACUCCUACGGGAGGCAGCAGUAGGGAAUCUUCCGCAAUGGGAGAAAGCCUGACGGAGCAACGCCGCGUGAGUGAUGAAGGUAUUCGGAUCGUAAAACUCUGUUAUUAGGGAAGAACAAAUGUGUAAGUAACUAUGCACGUCUUGACGGUACCUAAUCAGAAAGCCACGGCUAACUACGUG